rnacentral:rRNA from 1 species
UACGUAGGGGGCAAGCGUUGUCCGGAAUCAUUGGGCGUAAAGAGCGUGUAGGCGGCCCGGUAAGUCCGCUGUGAAAGCCCAGGGCUCAACCCUGGAACUGCCUUUAAUACUGCUGGUCUGGAGUCCGAGAGAGGUGAGUGGAAUUCCGAGUGUAGAGGUGAAAUUCGUAGAUAUUCGGAGGAACACCAGUGGCGAAGGCGGCUCACUGGCUCGGUACUGACGCUGAGGUGCGAAAGCGUGGGGAGCAAACAGG